rnacentral:sRNA from 1 species
UUUUCGUCUGUGGUAAAGAGGAUGAGCACCUCCGAAGGAGGUUUGCGCCGGGCGAAGCGAGACAACGUUGCGUCAGCAACGGCCCGAAGGGCGCUUCUCCUGAGAAGCGUCAUCCUCUCUCGCCGACCA